rnacentral:rRNA from 1 species
CACGUAGGAGCCAAGCGUUAUCCGAAUUCACUGGGCGUAAAGCGCGUGUAGGCGGCUUGAUAAGUUGGAUGUGAAAGCUCCUGGCUCAACUGGGAGAGGACGUUCAAUACUGUCAGGCUAGAGGACGGCAGAGGGAGGUGGAAUUCCCGGUGUAGUGGUGAAAUGCGUAGAUAUCGGGAGGAACACCAGUGGCGAAGGCGGCCUUCUGGGCCGUUUCUGACGCUCAGACGCGAAAGCUAGGGGAGCGAACGGG